AUUGAACGCUGGCGGCAGGCCUAACACAUGCAAGUCGAGCGGAGAGAGGUAGCUUGCUACUGAUCUUAGCGGCGGACGGGUGAGUAAUGCUUAGGAAUCUGCCUAUUAGUGGGGGACAACAUUUCGAAAGGAAUGCUAAUACCGCAUACGUCCUACGGGAGAAAGCAGGGGAUCUUCGGACCUUGCGCUAAUAGAUGAGCCUAAGUCGGAUUAGCUAGUUGGUGGGGUAAAGGCCUACCAAGGCGACGAUCUGUAGCGGGUCUGAGAGGAUGAUCCGCCACACUGGGACUGAGACACGGCCCAGACUCCUACGGGAGGCAGCAGUGGGGAAUAUUGGACAAUGGGCGCAAGCCUGAUCCAGCCAUGCCGCGUGUGUGAAGAAGGCCUUAUGGUUGUAAAGCACUUUAAGCGAGGAGGAGGCUACUUUAGAUAAUACCUAGAGAUAGUGGACGUUACUCGCAGAAUAAGCACCGGCUAACUCUGUGCCAGCAGCCGCCGUAACAC
rnacentral:rRNA from 1 species